rnacentral:rRNA from 2 species
CCUACGGGAGGCAGCAGUGGGGAAUAUUGCACAAUGGGCGAAAGCCUGAUGCAGCAACGCCGCGUGAGCGAUGAAGGCCUUCGGGUCGUAAAGCUCUGUCCUCAAGGAAGAUAAUGACGGUACUUGAGGAGGAAGCCCCGGCUAACUACGUGCCAGCAGCCGCGGUAAUACGUAGGGGGCUAGCGUUAUCCGGAAUUACUGGGCGUAAAGGGUGCGUAGGUGGUUUCUUAAGUCAGAGGUGAAAGGCUACGGCUCAACCGUAGUAAGCCUUUGAAACUGGGAAACUUGAGUGCAGGAGAGGAGAGUGGAAUUCCUAGUGUAGCGGUGAAAUGCGUAGAUAUUAGGAGGAACACCAGUUGCGAAGGCGGCUCUCUGGACUGUAACUGACACUGAGGCACGAAAGCGUGGGGAGCAAACAGGAUUAGAUACCCUUGUAGUC